AGAGUUUGAUCCUGGCUCAGAUUGAACGCUGGCGGCAGGCCUAACACAUGCAAGUCGAACGGUAACAUUUCUAGCUUGCUAGAAGAUGACGAGUGGCGGACGGGUGAGUAAUGCUUGGGAACUUGCCUUUGCGAGGGGGAUAACAGUUGGAAACGACUGCUAAUACCGCAUAAUGUCUUCGGACCAAACGGGGCUUAGGCUCCGGCGCAAAGAGAGGCCCAAGUGAGAUUAGCUAGUUGGUAAGGUAACGGCUUACCAAGGCGACGAUCUCUAGCUGUUCUGAGAGGAAGAUCAGCCACACUGGGACUGAGACACGGCCCAGACUCCUACGGGAGGCAGCAGUGGGGAAUAUUGCACAAUGGGGGAAACCCUGAUGCAGCCAUGCCGCGUGUGUGAAGAAGGCCUUCGGGUUGUAAAGCACUUUCAGUUGUGAGGAAAAGUUAGUAGUUAAUACCUGCUAGCCGUGACGUUAACAACAGAAGAAGCACCGGCUAACUCCGUGCCAGCAGCCGCGGUAAUACGGAGGGUGCGAGCGUUAAUCGGAAUUACUGGGCGUAAAGCGCACGCAGGCGGUUUGUUAAGCUAGAUGUGAAAGCCCCGGGCUCAACCUGGGAUGGUCAUUUAGAACUGGCAGACUAGAGUCUUGGAGAGGGGAGUGGAAUUCCAGGUGUAGCGGUGAAAUGCGUAGAUAUCUGGAGGAACAUCAGUGGCGAAGGCGACUCCCUGGCCAAAGACUGACGCUCAUGUGCGAAAGUGUGGGUAGCGAACAGGAUUAGAUACCCUGGUAGUCCACACCGUAAACGCUGUCUACUAGCUGUGUG
rnacentral:rRNA from 1 species